AAAAAAGAAGAAAAAAAGAGUCAAAAGAGGAAUAUUUGAGAAUUAGAGAGCACCGCGCCAUAUAUUUCAAAUGAGUUAUGGUAAACUCAUACUACCGCCAAUAAGGUUUCCCUCUUUUACACUUUUUUUUCUUCUUCUCAUUUUCUGCAACAGUAAGUUUAAAAUAAAGUAUCCAAUUUGCAGUAUAAGAGAAUAAAGAUAGACUCAUGCUUUCCAUUCAACUCUAAAUAUCCACCAAUCACUCCGCAACCAAAUUUCCUUUUUUUUUUUUUUAAUUUUCUCUCACCCAAAC
rnacentral:lncRNA from 1 species